AUUGAACGCUGGCGGCAGGCCUAACACAUGCAAGUCGAGCGGAUGAAGGGAGCUUGCUCCUGGAUUCAGCGGCGGACGGGUGAGUAAUGCCUAGGAAUCUGCCUGGUAGUGGGGGAUAACGUCCGGAAACGGGCGCUAAUACCGCAUACGUCCUGAGUGAGAAAGUGGGGGAUCUUCGGACCUCACGCUAUCAGAUGAGCCUAGGUCGGAUUAGCUAGUUGGUGGGGUAAAGGCCUACCAAGGCGACGAUCCGUAGCUGGCCUGAGAGGAUGAUCAGUCACACUGGAACUGAGACACGGUCCAGACUCCUACGGGAGGCAGCAGUGGGGAAUCUUGGACAAUGGGCGAAAGCCUGAUCCAGCCAUGCCGCGUGUGUGAAGAAGGUCUUCGGAUUGUAAAGCACUUUAAGUUGGGAGGAAGGGAAGUAAGUUAAUAUCUUGCUGUUUUGACGUUACCAACAGAAUAAGCACCGGCUAACUUCGUG
rnacentral:rRNA from 1 species